UUUUUGGAGUUUGUGUCGGCAGGCUUUUGGGUACAGUUUACAAGACGAUAAAUAGACUUAAAUAAGUGGGAAAAAGUUGACUAUUGAGAAGCUAGGGAUGAAAUGUUUUUUAACUUUAGCAUUAGACCGGAGUGGUUAUUGGAAAAUGCUGUUAGAGGCUCUAGUUUGCUGAGGUGGUGGUGGGUUGGAUCUUGGUUAAAGAAACUGAGUCCUAUUUGAGUAAUUUGUGCUGUCUAUGAAUUUGCUUGGGCAUAGUCAUUGGAGUAGGGUUAGGGUUUAAGUAAGUUGGCGCUUUGCUGAUAAAAAAAUGGUCAUCUUUUGUGAAGGUUUAGGAGAAGGUUAUAACCAGUUUUCAUGCCAAGAUGCUGGCCAUCUAUAAAAUGGGAAAUGUAGCCUUAGUAAAUUCUUCUUCAGAACACUAGUGAGAAAACUGUCUUUGGAAGUUGAGCUUACCUUGUUUGGGAAUAUAUUUCUCAUGAAGGUUUUACAUUAAACAAUCAAUACAUCAUUGAAUUUAUGAGGUAAUUUCUGAGGUCAAUGCAUUUGGACAGUGAGGUUUUUUUUUUUUGGACGAAUUGGAUUAGUUUGGAUUAGCAUUCUAGGAUUGUUUAGUUUUGGGAUUAUAUUAUUUUCCCAUGCAGUAGAUUGUCUUUGUAGUGAUGACUUGCUUUCUGUUUUUCUGCCAUUUAUUGUCUUAUUUAUGAAUUUCCUGUUGAUACUGGUUCUUUUAUUUGCAGUCCUCAACAUAUGGGAAAGUUCUUGUGCUUGAUGUCAUUGUUCAGUUGACUGAGAAAGAUGAAUGUGUCUAUCAGGAGAUGAUAACUUAUCUUCCCCUUUGUUCAAUUCAAUCCCCCAAAAACCAAAACUGUAAUUUUCAUAAAUCAUGGGUUCCAUAGUUCAUGAUGAGUUUACUGUUUCUAUUUUUAUUCAAAUUUAAUUUCAAAUGACAUAUAGCUAUACUUAGAUUAUUGAAAUUAUAAUGCAAUUAAGUGUGAGGAACCUUUUGAAUCCAUGGCAGCUUCUUUUUUUCUUUUCUUUUAUUCUAGUUGAACUUUAAUAGGCAUAUGUACUUAGAGAUACAUUUGAAGUUAAAUGUCCAACUACGCAUAAUUGUUAUGGUGAAAAAAAUAUACUCUCUCUGAUUACUAAUCUACCAAGAGGUUUGAGGUUUGAGGAGUACUGUGGAAGUGUGACGAGACUUCUUCCUUAGGGAUAGUUGUCGAGGAACAGGGUCUAUAGGUGCCCAUAUUCCCCACUGUUUGGCUUUGAGAAUCCUCGUGUGCAACUGCAUAUUGCUGAUGCUGUUGAAUUUUUACGGAAUGUACCUAAAGGAAAGUAUGAUGCAAUUAUUGUUGAUUCAUCAGACCCUGCAGAUUUUGUUGAGGGAAUAGUUGAUAUGAUCGAGCGGUUGAUGUUGGGAGCCAAAUAUUAUGUUGCUCUUUUUUUUUUUUUUUUUUUUUGAAGACUUGAAUUUUUUAGUACAGUGUAUUUAAGGAUGGUUAAUGGAUAUUAUAAAUUUAAUUAAUUUGUUAAUUUUGUUA